UAUUGUUAGGAAACAGUUUCUCGACUGUUUCCUAACCGUUUCCAAACAGCUUGGAAACAGUUUGCUAACUUUGUUUCCCAACUAUUUCCAACAGUUUCCUAACAAUUGGGAAGUUGUUUCCAAACUGUUGGGAAACUGUUGGAAACAGUUUGGAAAUAUUGUUUCCAAACAAUGUUUCCUGGUGUGGACAGGCCUUAAGUUACUGUCGUGGUAGUGAUGGAUAAGGCUUUGUCAGUGAAAGCAGUGCUUCUAGUGAUGUUCUUGAACAUUUUCACAAGGAAAGGGGAAAGAACCUCUCAUAAAAAAAAUAAAUAAAUAAAUAAAUAAAAAGUCAAUUCUAUGGCAAGGGAGGAAAAAGACGAAUUGCUUCAGACUCACAACCUCCAUCUGUCAGUGGUGCCAAUGUUGCACAGCACACCACAUCCCCUUUGCUUUCUCGCUCUCACAGUCCAGAUUCGUCUUCCUCUGGGUCAUCGAUGGACCUAAAACUUGCUAAAACAAUAAGGGUAAAGCGCGUGAAGCAUAUAACACGUGGUAACAGGAAAGAAACUACGCCGUGUCACUCGCCACCCGCCUCAACUAUUGCGGACCCUGUUAUUGCAACCACCACCACAGAUACGCCUGAUCCUACUGCUGCCACAGCCUCUUUAUCAUUGAAACACAAAAAGCAACCACCCAGCAUUUCCUCAGGUGUUCUUGGAAAGAAAAGGAGUGUGCAAAGUGGACAAGGAAGGAGGCGUAUAAAAAAAAGGUAACAGGCUCCCUCAACACCACCACCACCACCACCAGCUCUGGUGUCACCACUCCACCGCCGUUACGUAUUUAGUUUCUUGUUUGGAAUAUUUUUUUCCCAUAGAGGAACUGUAAAAUGAAGUAGGUGUAAGAAAAUGCAGUAAAGUUACUGGUUUUUUGUUUCUUGUUGAGGAAGAACUUCGUUUUCUAGAAAAGAAACGCUUAGAGGAUUAAUGUUAGUACAACAGGAUUAGCACAUUAUUUCAGGCAUUACAGCACAUCAGCAUUAGCACAGCAUCACAAUUCUGUAACAACAUUAUUUUAGGCAUGACAACAUCACAAGCAGAACAGCAUUACAUACAAACGCAAAACAGCAUCACAUAACAGUGAUAAUAAGAUUAAGAUGCUGUGAUGCUGAGGGUCAGAUUAUGAUGUUGUGCUGUUAGGUCUACGAUAAUAAUGAUGUGAUGUCUAAGAUACCCUGUGAUGCUGUUAGAUCUAAGAUAGUGAGGCUGUAAUGCUGUUAUGUCUAAGAUAAAGAUGAUGUGAUUCUGUUGUCUAAGAAUAACACAACAGCAACACAGCAUCACCACCAGUACCCAGGCAUCAUCACCACACACAUCAGUUUCCCCACAAACCUCACCAUCAGACACACACAACCACCACCAGUACCCAGGCAUCACCAUGCAGCGUCACACUCAAAACAGCAGCAUCACAUUUGAACAGCCCAUGGUGAGGAAUUAAAACAAGAGGGAAUAUUGCGUAAUAAUUGUAAGUACUCGGUAGGUUCCCACGUCACCUGUUCAAAGCAGAUGAUUUUUUUGCUUUUGCUACUUUUUGCUAUUGUGGCAGUAUGUACUUUGUUUAUUUGACAGUUUCAUCAAAUUUAUCUUAUUUUCUGAGUUAUUGCGUUUUUAAUAAUGUUUUAAGUGCAACAGGAACCGAAUUCUUGAGUAAUGAAGGAUGAGGCCACAAGAAGCAGAGGAAAUUCCGAAAUGGACGUCGGUGUGUGUUUUUUCCAUCUUAUUUCACCAUUUUAUCCUCAGGAAAUCUCUGCUGGGGAGACUGGCCAAUUGAUAGCAACAAGAACUGGCAUCAGUUGACCAAGACACCACUAGAAACUGACAUUAGCUGACCAAGACAGGACCAGAAAUUGACACCCACUUGCCACAAUAUCAGAUUGACACAGAAGAGUGAAGGACUGCCUGCUGCCUUGAUGCAAGAAAGUUUAGGCUGCCAUCUCACUCCUGCAUUGACAGCUGAUUUGUGCUGAAGCCCACCAGUCCAGUCAAGCCAGGAGGGACCAGGUGAUCAGUGCUGAGGAGUGGAGAGUGGGCUGGCAGGAAUUAGAAGCUUUAAGAGGUUCUGAAGAAGAGAUGAAGUAGAAGAUGAACCUGGGGGCUGUCAGCUUUGUGGAAUCCUGGUAAAAUUGGAGGAUGAACUCCGCUGCCUGUCAAAUCCGUCCUGAAGUGAAGUGCUCUGACUGAAUUGGGCCUUCCGUCAUCACAGUUGAAGAGAACCCAGCUCUGUCUGAACCCUGCCUGUCAGUUGCUAAACAUUGCAGAAGAUGGAGCCGUGGGUGAACCAAAGCCAUAUGUGAACCUGGCAAGAAAGUGGUGUUGCUGUCCUGAGGCUCAGGAGCACCAAUUCACUGUCCACCCUCCAUCAUCAUGGAAAGAUGUGUAUGAACAAAGAAAUUACUUGAUGAAAAAUAAAAAUAAAACUGUAAUUUGUCAAAU